GCAUGCAGCCAGGUGGGAGAAGCCUGCCUGGUGCGGCGUGCUAGGGAACCUGGGGUUGUGUUCGCCUUGCCCAGUGGAAGAACCUUUCUGAGGAGGAGCUUUCAUCAGUGCUGACAGUUCCUGUUUAGGGUAAACGGGGAGUUUGAUCACAUGUAAGCAGCCCUCCUUAGAUUCUACCCCUGGGGACUGGACUCCUAUCACAGCCACUUUCUGAUCCCCUUUAAUUUAUUCAAGUCUAUUCCAUUUCUUAUGUUUGAGAUGGCUCUAUAGAGGGUAAUGAACCAAAAUGAUAAAAUCCUGAUUGAAAUCUUAGCUCUGCCACUUGGGCAGCUGUAAUCAGCUAAGUUGGCUUCACUGAGAUGAAAAAUUCUCUCUUACAAAAAGGAACAAAUACAUGACAGCUAUUUUGAGAAUUGAAUAAGAUAAUCUAUAAGAACAAGCUCUACACAGUACAAAUGCUAUGCUAUUGAAAAUACCAAUGGCAUUAUUGUCCCGCUCCUCUGUGGUCUGAUGGAGCAGUGGGAGAUGCUUCAGAAGCCCAUUCAGCCAAGCUGCCCUCUGGGGCAAGCCACUGUCCACAGCUCCCACGGGACCUGCUGUUUAUCCUAGUCUUCCUUUGCACGGAAGCAGUAUGUGGUUUCCCAGGAUGAGUAAAAGCAUCUUAGCCAACCCUGCUGAAUACAGAAGGGAAUGGGAAGCAGGGAAGGAGUGGUAAUUGGAGGGGAGGGUGGGGGGAGGAAACCAUAAUACUUUUAUAUGUGAAGGCCCAACUGGGCAGGCUCUGCCGGGAUGGGGCACCUCCGUCUCCUUUCCACUGAGCGCCAGCAAUCACUGGGCAGAGUUGCCUGCACUGCCUUUGUGGACAAGAAAGAAACCAUUGAAGGGUGAAUUUCAACUAGUGAGCCUCCAUCAUUCCUUUGUGGUGUAAAGGAUAAGAAAUGCAGAUACACACAAAGCAGUGUAUCUCAGGAGAGCCAGUGAGAGGACACCACCCCAAACAUUACUUGCACAUCCUAAGAUUUGCCUGAUAUUUUUUUUACACAAAGACCACAUUACCCACAAGAAUGUAUCAAGUAAGAAACCAUUGAAAAUCAUCAAAACCUUCCCACUGUGAAUCAGUAGAAACAGGCUUUGAAGCAGAGGCAGCUCUGAAGUGAUGGGGGAAAUUUGGGCACCGACAGUCACCUUGGCACGUACACUGCGCUAUUCUCAGACUUGCUGAGCCUUCCUGCCGCCUCCCUAUCACUUCUCACCUGUCUGGUCUGAAAGCACAUUUGAACUCGGCUUUCUUGGAAGCGAAAACAAGCAUGUGAUGGAAUAUACACUACUCCUGCCUUUGAUGUCUCUUCGCCAACAUGGCAAUAUCUGAUUUCUCUACAUAUCUGGAUUCUUCAGUCCUCACCUAAAACACCUCCAUGUAAGUCACUGGCACACUAUAUCUGGGACAUAGAAGGUUGGGAGGGAAAAAUAAAAGAAACAGACUAAUAGUAUGAAGGUCCUAGCUUAGACAACAGUUCUUGAAGUGGCAUCGUCUACUCAUUUUAGCCUAAAAUAGACCUUUUUGUCACCAGUCAGAGUUUGUUUAGGAAAUGCAAGCUAAUUUUAAUAUUGGAGUGUUACAAUGAUUGAGAAUGUGAGUCUGUGGCUUAUAUAUACACACCCACACUCUGGCUUUUUUUUUCUUCCCCUAUGUUCCAUGUCACUGAUACAGCCUGUAAUUAGGAGGAAUGGAGAGCUGGCAAUAUAAUUACUUUCAGACCUUCAGAUUAAUCAAUGAGGGUAAAGACUAAGCAAGGUGAACACAAAGUCUGCGGAUGCAGGUAAAGGUGCUAAUGUGUCUACAGAAGCUGUGACUUUGCUCUACGAGUUGAAUAGAGUUCGGUGAUCUGCAGGCCAAUCAGCCCUUUUGCCUGUGUCCCUUGUUAAAGAAUCACCCGCCCCAGCAGCUAUCAAAAAUAUCAGUAGAGACUUAGAAAACGUCUGCAUUUCAUAUCUUGCCAUUAGGGAGGAUGGCCCUUUUACUAAGGAAAAAACAAAAACACUUUGAGGGUUUACAUCCUUUACGGAACUCACAUGGAGUCCAAAUUCAAGAAAGUGAAGGCAAGCCAGUUCCUUUCCAGCUUCACGUGGCUGUGUCAACGUUUACCUGCUGUUAUCUAUAAAGGCAAAUGAUUCUUUCAAAGACAAUGACAGCACCUUUCAUUACGGCUUCCUGUGCCUCCGGGAGCAUCACAUUGGCUUGGUCAGCAGUAGGACCUUCUACCUGGAGGCAGAACGUGUUAUGGAGAUGGUUUAGGCAGGAGGCUGGGUGAGAUGGUUUCACAUGAACCUGGGGGUUUGCAUUCUGCUCUUUCCUGCUUCUGUCCUGUGGCCCAUGCUCUUCUUCCCACCAGGCAGUUUACCUUCCUUCCUCCAGCUGUGCACAGGUGGGUGCCCUCCAUCUGUCAGGGCCAAUUCAAGUUCCCCCACCUCUGUGAGGCUUUACCGGAUUGUGCCAGCCAAGACUCUGUCCUUCCUGUGGGUUAUUUACCCUGCCUCUCAGAUCAAUGCACAGAUACAGUGUCUUCAUUAAGAGACUGUAAUUCUUCAAGGGCAAGGAACAUAUUUUAUAUCCCUUUUAUUCCCAUUAUAUCCCCAUGCCACCCUACCCAUGUAUAUACCUGGCUCAUUCACAUAUUUUACCUCCUAAAAGGUACAUACUAUACUCUAAUAAUACUAAUCCUUUUUAAAUAAUCGAGUUUCAGUGAAAGGGACAAAAAAUGGAGAGUUGAGGGGGUGGCAAUUUUCACUUUUAGGACCUUAUAUCUUUAUUCAACAGCUAAUAUAAAAUAAAAAAAGCUUUUUAAAAAUAUUUCCUAUGCCAAAAUCCACACAGUUUUGUAAGAGUACUAUUUGCAAUUUAAAUAUGUGGGCCAUAAGGUGCCAAAACUUUAAGCUUAUUUAAAGAAUAUCAGUCCUGAUUUGGAAACGGUUUUUAAAAUCAUCCCGUCACAAAAAGAUCUAACAUACACUGUCUAUUCUCUAGCUCUCCCCAUUUCACCUACCCUUUUACUCACGAGGAGCAGGAAAAAAAAAAUCUGCCUGCAAGAAAUAUUCUCAACUCCUUCCUGCCCCAGACACAACUUUGUAAGGCAUGCAAUUACCAUGAGGACAGGAGAAAGACAACUUUCUCUUCUGCUUGCUGUCUAACUUCUUUAAAAUUAUCUUGGAAAUCCUUUAAAAUUCUUUAUUUCACACAUUACCUACCUUCUCUAAGCCGUGUCUCUGAUACUACGAGGAAAAUGCUCCAAAGGCAAAGUAAUAACCUUAAAGAUAGCCUGAAUCCCUCCUUGCUCUUAGAAAUGUUUGCUCUCUUCCCCACCUCAUUUCCUGCUGCAACUGUUUGCCCAAACACAGCAGAUCGAAACUAGGCAGCUGCCCUAAGAAUGAAAACUAACCAAUCUCAGACAUCUGAAUUAGCUGCAGGUCACCACGUUGGCUCUGCGGGGAUAAAAUCACCUGCUGUUUCACUGGGCCCCAGAGCGAGCCUCCAGGACAGGAUCGGACAGGGAGCAAGAGCAGGUAAAGGAGCAAAGCAGGAAGAUCAGUGUGAGAAUUGAAACGACAACGCAUUUCAUGCAAAGAAGGGGACUCCAGACACGGCAGUGCUUGGGUCAGAUGUUCUCUCUGAGCAGACCUCUAUCACAAGGAUGCUAUCUGCUGUGGAACGAAGUCCAUUCCGUGUGCCAGUGCACAUUUGCACAACACAUGAUGUGGAAUAGUCUCUGGAGCCAAAACUGGUUCUCUAUCCACCCUGGGGCAGGUCGAUCAUUUUCCAGUGUAAACCUCCUUGGGAGUAACCACUUAUUCCAGUGUAGUGCGCUGGGUAAUUAAUACCAUAUCUCUUCCAGACAGCUUUGUACGUCAUGCACGUGGGUGAAGACUCAAAAGCUUUCCUUUUCAGAGAUCUGUCUGGAUGAGACAGAGAAAUCUGUUGCUGUUUGAAACAGAAGUCAUCCCCCUGUACCGGUGUGUGCCUUGCAGUGCAGUGAGCUUGUGAGGGGCCUGUGGGACUUACAGGGCAAGAGCUUAUCAGUAAGAGGGGAGAUAAGAGCGCAUGUGAGGAUACAGCAGUGAUAUCUGAGGCCUUAAUGCUGGACGAGCAGGGCUGUGCACCUCCCUUUAGCAGUCUGGAGAGAACUGAGGCAAGAGCUUGUGUUCCCGCAGGCUCUGCAUUCUGAGGUUGGGGAUAUGGAAGAAUGCCACCGUCGGGGUGGAAUAACCUGAGUUCUUUACAAGAUGAGGGUUUCUGUGUAUUUUUCCAAAGUGGUAGAAAUUUUCCUCAUCUAAUCUCUUUCAGAGCAGGCAUCCUUGGACCAAUAGUCUGCCUUCUCCCAAUUCCUCCUCUGGGUUUAUUUCUGAAACCUUUGCUUAAAAACAAAACUAACUUUUUAAAAGAACGUUUUUAGAAACUUCAUAUCUGUCAUUUCUCCUUUUUUUAAAAAUUUUGUGCAGCUCUAAAAUUGCUUUCUAUUUAUCCCUAAAUUUUUCUCCCAUAUCAGUUUACCACUUCUCAUGGGUUGACUUGGCUGUCCCACUAGUCAAAUUGCUUUUUGAUAAAUUACUAUGGACAGCACUUAAGAUUACAAGUAAACCUUAAAUAUGUGAUAUUUCUCAUACUUAAUUCCACAUUUGCUAUUCUUUGAGGAAGGUUACCCUGGCAUUCCCUUCCGUGAACUCUGUGAAAUCGGAAUAACCACCAACCGUAAGAUUAAACAUUCUGAUAAAUUCUUUACAUGUUCCAAGCCACCCACACAAUGUUAUGGACCAAUGUUUGUGUCCCUGCCCCAAAUGCGUAUGUUGAGGCCCUACCCCCCAGCGUGAUGGUAUUAGGAGGCGAGCCUUUGGGAGGUAAUUAGAUUUAGAUGAGGUCAUGAGGGUGAAGCCCUCAUGGUGGGGUUAGUGUUUUAUAAGAAAAGGAAGAGACCCCAAGCUUCUCUUGCCUCACACACGUGCCGAAGAGGUCCCGGGAGCACGCGGGGAGAAGCCACUUACAAACCAAGAGAAGAGGCCUUAGAAUAAAACCAGCCCUUGCCAGCACCCUGGCCUUAGAGUUAGUUCUCAGCCCCCUGAACUGUGAGAAAUUAAUUUCUAUUGUUUAAGCCACCCAGUCUGUGGUAUUUUAUUCUGGCAGCCUGAGUUGACUAAAAGACACACAACUAGAAAGUUUCAGCCACGUGCAUGUCUCCCCAAUUUUAAGUCCAGAUUCUGAGACCCAGAGAAUGAAGGGGCUUGUUGAACCUUCCAUGGACAACCUGUUGUAAAAACAAUUCAGGCAUUGAAUACCAAACAGCCUCUGGAAAUAUUGCCAAAGCUUUUCUCUCCUUCAAAUCACCUCUACAAGUUCAGCCUCUUAGGAAACUUUAUGAAAACUGGUGAGAAAAUGCUGAACAAUUAUUUAAACAUUAAUGCCAAAUGGAAAAGAUGAUGUGUAAAAUAAAAAACUGUUGCUAAUUGCUUGUGUUCAUAGUUCCAUAGGCCUCUCAGCUACCUGCACUGAUACCAGGAGGUAAUAAAGAAAUUCCAGCUGUUCACUGAGAAGCACCUAAGGUCAAGUGUCUGUCAUAAGCUGCCACUUAGGAAAUGCCUGUCUGUCUUCCCUCCCAGCUGUGAACCCCCUGAAGGCAGAUUGUUUUGUUUGCCAUAGUUUAUAUAGUAAACUAUAAUUUACACCAUGUGACUUCACUAUGUAUUCUUUACAUAUUCUGUCAUUUCACAAAUUCUCAGAAGCCUGGACUAGUUCCUCUAUCUUCUCCACACAGGCACAUGGCAGACUUUCCCUGCACACAGUUGCUUGACCUAUAAAUGAAUCUGGCAGCUUCUUGUUGCCUUCUGCUCUGAAACCAUCCCGACUUCUCAGAGUGAUACCAAAGGAGGGUCUCCCGGGCAAGCUUUGCAGCCUCUACAGCCUUUGUCUGAAACUCCUGCAGCUCCGACGGGCCUGUCGCCACAGUAAUCAGCUACCUCCUGACCCCACUGCUUUCUGAGACUGACUGUCUAAUCUGAGGUGGGAAUGUCCCCGGAGGCAGACCCCAGACUGGCAGCUCUUCACUCUGACCCAUCCAGAAGCAAAUAUCCAGCUGGAAGCUUUUGCUUGCUGGGGUGGAAGGGCCUCUUUAACUGCAGGAGGAGUUCUGAUGAAUUCUGGACUCAAAAGGGUGUUGCUUUUUUUCCCCCAACAGACAUGCUCUCCAAUCCCCAAACCAGCCCCUGGUGAAAGUUGGCCUUUUAGCCUUUUGUAUCACAUUCUCUGUUGUUUAUAAUGCUGGGCGAAGAUGGGAGGGAACAAUAACGCCAGAGGAUUUGGGUGAUCUUCCUGUCAGUAGGGAGGUAUGUGGAAAAAGAAGGCAUGGAGGGAGGGAGCAGAAAGCCAGCUUCGUGGGAUCUGUUGACAUCUAAUGGCUGGAACAGAUUGCUUCAGCUCACAGGAACACAGAGCACCAUAAAUGGGUGCUGAUUUCAAUCUUAAAAGAACCACUCCUUCCCACAGGAAAGCAGGUGGCUAAUAGUACCCAUAAGACCCGUAUACACUGUGCCUAUUUAAUUCUUCAGUCAUAUAAAGGCAAAGAAAGAACCAUUUCAAAGAUGAGCUUUUUAAAAAAGGUCACCAUUUCUCUGUUGGGAAUUGUCACAGGGGAGUAAUACGGAUCCUGAAUAAAUUGCCACCCACCCAGAACUCACCCAGAAGGGGAGCCAUGCAAGGGAGGCCCUCACAUUUGCUGGGGCAUCCUGAGGGCUGACAGCUGGUCAUGGUCGCAGUGACCGUGGACAAGUCUCCGGACUUGGUUCCUUCCCGUCCACAUGGAGAGGCUGGGUGCAUGAGACAGGAGGACCCAGGCCAGCCCUGUGACAUCAGUGAGAGAGCACGGGCCAUGUCUCCAGGUCUUGGCCGGUGUCUGGAAUAGUGAAGAUGCUCCCUGAAUGUUUGUCAUGAAAAUAGAUAAAUGAUAGUAUUUCAUUUUGACUUUUAUCUCCAUAGAGAUUUUCUUUGGCCUCCUCUGGGUCUCCAUAUGAGGGAGGAAGGGAAGAAGCUCGGAGAUACUCUUUCUGAGAGGAUGCUCUGCUCUGGGUCCUCACAGAACUGACCACCCAGCUGGGAAGGAAAGUCCAGCAUCGCUGGUACCCAGUGCACUCACUAACCCUGAGACUGGUACAGUCAAAGGGGGCACGCAAUGCCGUCAAUUCCCAGGAGGAGAGAUGUUGGGUUGCUGGCUCCAGUUUUCUGUCUAAGCCCCCGUGUCCUGACAUGAGCACCAACUGGUCACCAGCAUUGACAGAGCUGUGAAUCACUAGUGCACCAAGUCUGUGCUCCUGCAGACCAAGCUCCAAGCCUCUGAUGGCCUCCAAGCCACUGUCUCGCCAGCUCAGAGUGUAACAGAGUAAGUACUUAGCAAAUACAUUUUUAAAACUUUUUAUUUGACAUAAUGAUAAAGAAAAGUUGCAAAAAAAUACAAAGCUCCCAUAUAUCCUCCACCCAUCUUCCCCUUAUGUUAACAGCUCAUAAAAUCAUAGUAAAAUUAUUGAAAUUUUAGGAUAUUAUCAUUGAUCCUAUACUCUUGACUAUAUACAGACUUUAUUUGAAUUUCAGCAAUUUUUCCACUGUGAUAUUGCGAUUUAUAAUACAAAAUUAUGAAAUAGAUAUUUGGUCUUUGUCCCAUUCUUGACACAGAGCUCCUAAAAGCACGAGUUUCCUUUGGUGAAAGAGAUCAAGGUGUCUUUUGUUUUGUUAAUGAGAUAACUUUUGGAAAGUCCCCAGGUAGCCUGAGGAUGGGUCUGGUUGCCAGGGGAACCGACCCUGUGGUUAAAGGUUGGCAUUUUCAGUCCCUCCCCAACCUCAGGAAGAGGAGAGGGGCUGGAAAUUGAGAUCACUUAGCAAUGGCCAAUGAUUAAUCAACCAUGCCCAGUUAAUAAAGCUUCCAUAAAACCCAAAAGAUAUGAUUAGAAUUUGGAGAGCUUCUGGGUGGGUGGACAUGUGGAGAUGCUGGGGUGGGGGCACGGAGCUCUGUGCCCCUCCCGUGUACGUGGCCUGUGCAUUUCUUCCACCUGACCAUUCCUGAGGUCUAUCCUUUUACAAUAAACAGGCACUCUAGUAAGUAUAAUGUUUCUCUGAGUUCUGGGAGCUGCUCUAGCAAAUUAAUGGAGCCCAAGGAGUAGGUCCCAGGAACCUCCAAGCUGCAGCGCAUUGGUCAGAAACACAGGUGACAACUUGGGCUUGGGGUGGGCAUCUGAACAGGAAUGUUUUGCAGGACUGAGGCCUAAACCUGUGGAAUCUGCAGGUGCAUAGUGUCAGAAUUGAGUUAAUUGCUUGGUAGUGUGGAAAAAACACACACUGGUGUCAGAAUCGGACAUACUAAUGUUCUUUUUCUCACCCAGGAUCCCAUCCAAGACCCCAAUGUCUCCUUCAUCUCCUGCAAUCUGUGAGCUAGUUCCUCAGUUUUUCUUUGUCUUUAGUGGCGUUGACACUUUUGAAGAGUUCCAGUCAGUCAUUGUAGAGACUGUCCGGCAGUUUGGAUCUGUCUGCUAUUUUCUCAGGGUUAGAUGGGGUUACGCAUUUUUGGCAAGAAGAAGACAGUGAGUUUGUCCUCCCUGCAUCCUAUCAGCAGGCAUGUGAAUGAUGUGCAUGUGCCUCCCCUGUGAUGUGGACAGUAAUCACUUGAUUAAGGUGGUAUCUGCCAGGUUCCUCUACCCUCGAGUUACUGUUUUUCUCUUUUCAGUUAAAUAAGUGUUGUGUGAGGAGAUGCUGUAGGAUCAAUAGUUUUGAAUAAACCAAUGAAUGUUGGAACAAAAAUCUGAAUCUGAAGGAAAGGCAAUUAAAAGAGCAAUAAUUGUGAGUUCUCAAACUGCAUUAAAAAAUUCAUUAUGGAGGAUAAAAUAGAGAAAAUAAGACAAUAAAUGAAUGAGUCAAAAGCCACCAUCUCAAUAAUGCAGAGAAGAGAGUAAGUCUGGUUACAUAUUUAUGCAGCCAGCCUAUCUUCGUCAUCUCUUCUCUACCUCGUGUCACAUGUUUAUAUUUUAUGAGUGACUGCAGAGGCGUCUGAGGAUAGGGUGACGUAGCACGUUUACCCCUCGUGCUGGAGCACAGUCCUGUGCCGGGGUGGCCCACUGUAUAAACCACCUAGAGCCCAUUCAAAGGACAGCAAACACAUGCUGGUCUGCUGGGAACGGCUACAGGAAGGAAAGUUGUCCCACUUAGAAAGGGCAACUCUGGGGAAAGUGCAGAGCACCCGUCCUGGUCAGCUGGGGGCGCCGUGACACCGUCACAGACUCGGGCCUCCGCAGCAGUUACAUCCUCACAGUUCCGGAGGCUGAAGUCCCAGAUGAAGGUGCUGGCUGAUGUGGCUCCCAGCGAGGGCUUUCUUCCCAACUUGCAGACAGCUGCCUCCUCGCUGCGCCCUCACGUGGCAGAGGGAGAGGAAGAGCUCUCUGUUCUCUUCUUAUAAGGACUCUGGUGGGAUCAGAUCCCCGCUCUUAUGGCCUCCUAUGACAGCUACCUCUAUAAACCCCUCUCUCCAAACAUGAUUUUGAGUUGGUGGUUGAGGCUUUAGCAUCUGAAUUUGGGCAGGACACAAAAGCUCAGUCCGUGGAAGUAGUUAUCCUCUGUGCCUCCCAGUGCGCCAUCUAUGUAACAGGACAUUACGUGGCACAUUGUGAUUGUCUCAGUGUCUGUGGAAGCCCUACACUAUGUACAAUAGGUGUCAAUAUCCCAAAUUUAAAGAAAAGUGCUGAGCCAAGAAUUUGCGAUGUGUGCAUCAGCCUAUUGUCUACCUCCAUAUGACAGAAAAGAUUAAGGCUCCAUUAAGAGGGAGCAAUCAUGGUGAGGUUUCUCUAGAAAACAAAGCCAUGUGCUAAAGUUCCCUCCUAGUACUCCCUACUCAGGCCAACUGUGAACCUCCCAACACAAUGGACAUAUGUGCCCUGAAAUCAGGGACGAUUGUGGAACUGUUAUCUGAUUCACAUUUGGAAGGAAAGAGGCUGUGGCUUGGGGAGGGGGAGGCCAUGUCUGCAGAAGGAGAAGAAAGCUGCACUGAAGAGAGCUGUAUCAAAAGCAGGAUAAAAAUGCAUGCUUCCCAAGGCCCACCACACACAGACCCCUAGGGAGAGCCCAGCCAUAAACCAGCUCGAAAAACUCCCUGUCCAGCGGACCACUGAAGUGGGGCUGCUGAUGGGUGAGCUCAGCAUAAGACUGAGCAGCCCCACCAGCCAUGGGCUAGGAGGUCAUAAGCAGCCAGUCAAGGGAGGUGUCACGCACAGCAGAAGGGUACAGUUGAAAGUCCCCAGUGGGAGGGGCUCAAAGGAACCUAGGAAAGUGCCCGUGAGAGAAAAAGUCAGCACAUAGGUUCUCAGUAUAAAGGUGCUUAUUCCCCAUGUCAUUUGCACUUGCCAAGUAUGGAGGACUUUUUCUGCUCACUGCCUUUCUUCCCAAACCAGCCAAGGGCGUGAACGUGGGAGGGACAAACAGAUGAGGAGAAGCAGGUCUCUGCAGGGCCCCAGCCCCAACCAGGCCUUGGCGGGGGCAAUUGUAGGGAUCAAAAGAGAGACUGGAGCUUGUUCAAAGACUGCACUGGACUUUUUAACAUCUGAAAAUGACCAGAAUAUUCUACAGGAUAUGCAGGAAGGAAGAAGGAAUUGAAAAAGAGUAUAACACAAAGUGGAGAAAAAAUGAAGUUCCUUUCUCUUUGCACUCUACCAAGUCCAGUCAUUCAGAAACGAAACAAAGCAGAUACACACGGGUGUGAUUACCUGUCCAGCUACGCACGGCCCUGUACCUAGACAGGCUCCUCACUUGGCUUAAUGUUCUGCUGUCACCAUCUUGAAAUUCUUAAUAAUUUUAAACAAGAGCACCACGUUUUCAUUUUGCACUGGGCCCUGCAAAUCACGUAGCCAGUCCUGGUUACAUAUAUUACAGGGGUCUAUGUGGCCCCAAGGGGUACAGUGGGGCCAAUCAGUAGGGGGUAGAAAGAAACAGAAUUGAGCUCAACAUUAGGAAGAGCUUUCUAAAACUCAUGGCUAUUGCCCAAAUUGGAAUAGGCUGUGUAAAUAGGUAGAGAAGGAUCGUCACAGCUACUUAGCAGUAAUAUCAGAGGCAUAAUUCAAGCUGUGAAUUCAAGGGAAUUCAAUCCCUUCCAACCCUGAGAUUAUCUAAUUCUUUGAUUAAUGAAUCUCCUUCAAGAUGUCUACUCUACCAGCUUCACCAGGAAAUGAACUCACCAGUGCUGAGACCAGGUGAGAGUAUUCCUGAGGCCAGCCUGUAAUCCUACGUGGUCGGGAGUUUCACUGACUCCCUGGGUUUCUGUCCAAAUCGUGAGCUGUUGUUUUCCUUUAUGAGAACAUUAUUGCCAUUACUCACUGUAUUUUUGAUCAUUGUAAGUUGGAUCUUGUUAUGGCUGGCACACUGUGACUGCUGGCUUCUAAGAAAAAGGCCUAGAAAAUCUCAGAAAGUGUCUUGGACUGGAAUAUGAUUCCAUUAAUCAUAUUUUGACAAAAUAGCAUAAAGAGUCCUGACAAAUAGUGAUCCAAUUUAGUAUUAAAAAUCUGUGUGUGUGUUGGUUAUUAUUGUCAUCAUCAUUAUUAUCCUUGAGGGAGAUGGUUCUAGAAGAAAAGAAAGAGCAUUGCUUCCUGAGACUGUCCAUAUAUAACCUCCCCGGCUGGCAAGUUCCUCUUCUUGAUUCCACCUUGGUGGUGCUGGUCUCUGCAGCCAUAGUCAAGAGAGACAUCAAAGCUCCACUGCAAAGAUGCAUGACUGACACCAAUACCGGAGGCAGGAACCCACAGGAAAUGGGGGUACUUGGUCAAGCUUGGUAGGCCCAUUUCCCUGCAGACUCACUCCGCCUACAUAUUGAAAAACUUUGAGUUUCUUUCAUAUUUUGGCCUUGACCUUUCUAGCAUUUAGCCUUCCCACAAUGGAGGCUAUGUCACUCCGCACGCUGAGCACAGGCCUCCUAAUCAUAGCCAUCCAUUAAGCUGUCAGGAAAAACUCCCAGCUCAAUCGCAGCUUUAUCAGACUCUGGCUGCCAGUGGGGUCACGUUAGGCAUCAAGUCUGACCUGCUCGGAGCCCUUGUCGUGGCGCUGAUCCCACGCUCACUGGGGCCUUUGUGGCUAGGCAGACCAGACAGCCACCUGGUUGCCCCCGGCUCAGUUCCCUCUUCCACUGCAAUGCCCAGACAGGGCAGAGUCAAGAGAAACAAUAGGGCAAACUUCAAGUAAAGCAUUCUCUUCGGGGAAUUUUGUGCACAGGAGUUAUACGGAGUUACCGGAGUCUGAAAUUGGAAAUGGAGACUCUGUUGAGCAGGGAGGAAUCUGGUGUCAGGAGAAAAAAAAGUCUUCAAUUUGGACCUGCUCUCAGAGAUUGUAGAAUCAUAGAAUUUUAUCACUGCCAAGGAAUUUAGUGAUCUUUUUUUUUUUUUUACAGAUUGGUGUAAAUGUGGCCAAGGGACUUGGGUUUUACGUUUAUUGCUGAAUCUGGUUUUCUUGAGUUCCAGGUAAUUCUUGGGAAGCAGGAAAGCCAUCGAACACUGCUUUUUGGGCCAGGAGACACGUGCACUCAACAAACCCUGGUGAGAUCCUGGCUGAGCUCUUGAGUGGCUCCCCAGCCCAGUGGGACAAUGCCGGCACGCCGAGGCUGGCCAGUGUCUCAGUGCUAUCCCUCACCUUGUCGCUGUGGUCCCUCACUUGGAGAGACCUGUCUCCCUGAGCAAGUCCUUCUAUUUCUCCCCUCUCACAGCUGGUCCUCUGAGAGCAGUUUUCAUCAAAGCUUUGAGGUGCUGUUUUGGUUUUUCUCUGUUCUCUUUCCAAUCUGUUGAGUCAUUCCUUUGUUCCGAAGGAGUUUUAAGAUUGUUUCUUAGCUACUAGUCUAAAAGACAAUUUUAGAAGACCAGGAAUUCCACUGUACUCUGUAUUUGACUGUGUUAACUCUCAGAUUUAAAGGGAAAUAAAAAGAUUACUGGGAAUAAAAACCAUAUCUGUUAUUAUAUACAAAUGCUUCCACUACAUUCAUGCUCUAUCACCUUCUCCAUAUUACAUCGGAAUAAUAUGGAAUUCAUUUCAGAGAAAUGAAGUUACCUGCACAAGGUCACUCAGCUAUUACAUGAUUUAAACUCAGAUCCACUGAGUUUGUGUGUUGUGUGUUCAGAACAGGAAUUUCUUAUCUUAAUAAAAUAACCUAAGACAUACUCAAUGCCCAUGGGAACAACUAUCCUCUAACUCAUUAGGAUUUCUCUGUUUGUUUCUGUGGCUUUUCCUUUAAGCUGAAAAUUUCUACCCGUGUUCUUUUUCUUUGGGUAAAAAGAUUCUACCUUUCUCUCUUAGUGUUUAUUCAUCUUUGUCCCUUAAUAUAUUUGGAAAUCUAUGAGGAAAACAAUAUUGUGUUGCUUUCUGGGUUCACUCAUCCAGUUUCUUCCAAUCAAAGCUAUGACUUCCUGAAAACUUAAGCCCAAGGAAAGUAUAAACACCUCCCCAGAUUGCCUUGCUUCUAGAGCGGGGGUCAGCAAACUCGUUGUGCAAAGGGCCAGAUAGUAAAUAUUUUGGACUUUGCCAGUCUCUGUCAUGAUUACCCAACUCUGCCCAAUAGCAUGAAAGCUGUCUUAGAAAAAAUGGA